rnacentral:rRNA from 1 species
CAGUAGCCGACCUGAGAGGGUGAUCGGCCACAUUGGAACUGAGACACGGUCCAAACUCCUACGGGAGGCAGCAGUGGGGAAUAUUGCACAAUGGGCGAAAGCCUGAUGCAGCAACGCCGCGUGAGUGAUGAAGGCCUUCGGGUCGUAAAACUCUGUCCUCAAGGAAGAUAAUGACGGUACUUGAGGAGGAAGCCCCGGCUAACUACGUGCCAGCAGCCGCGGUAAUACGUAGGGGGCUAGCGUUAUCCGGAUUUACUGGGCGUAAAGGGUGCGUAGGCGGUCUUUCAAGUCAGGAGUGAAAGGCUACGGCUCAACCGUAGUAAGCUCUUGAAACUGGGAGACUUGAGUGCAGGAGAGGAGAGUGGAAUUCCUAGUGUAGCGGUGAAAUGCGUAGAUAUUAGGAGGAACACCAGUU